rnacentral:tRNA from 1 species
GCCAAAGUGGUGAAAUUGGUAGACACGAUAGAUUCAAAAUCUGUUGCCGGCAACGGCGUGGCGGUUCAAGUCCGCCCUUUGGUACCA